GGCCAGCUGACACAUCCCGGCCAAUCUCCAGCAGACCCUCCCUCCCAGACCCUUCUACUUCCUGGACAGCAUCCAUGUUGAAGGCAGCUUCAACAUGGAUGCUGUCCAGGAGGUGGGAGGGUCUGGGAGGGAGGGUCUGCUGGAGGUUGGCCGGGAUGUGUCAGCUGG
rnacentral:miRNA from 1 species